rnacentral:rRNA from 1 species
UAGUCCCUACGGGACGCAGCAGUGGGGAAUAUUGCACAAUGGGGGGAACCCUGAUGCAGCGACGCCGCGUGAGUAAAGAAGUAUUUCGGUAUGUAAAGCUCUGUCAGCAGGGAAGAAGAAAGACGGUACCUGACCAAGAGGCCCCGGCUAACUACGUGCCAGCAGCCGCGGUAAUACGUAGGGGGCAAGCGUUAUCCGGAUUUACUGGGUGUAAAGGGAGCGUAGACGGCAGGGCAAGUCUGGAGUGA